AAAGAGAAGAGAACGUUCGCUGUUGAUGUAGUCGAAUUCAUUUAAUCUUUAUAUCACAGUGGCUGUUCUUUUUUGUUUA
rnacentral:pre_miRNA from 15 species